rnacentral:piRNA from 1 species
UUCUUAUAUUUCUGUGUUCCAAAAGA